rnacentral:lncRNA from 1 species
GAAUCUAUGAAGGGACAUCAUUUCUGAGCCCAUUGAGACUUGUAGUGAAAAACCAAGCAUCCCCUGAUAAAUAGGUAGUAGAAACAAACUACCUAUGAAAAUGCUUUUUGAUUUGUGGAUUUAUCUCACAGUGUUAAAUUUUUGAUUUGAUUCAACUGGUUGAAAACAUUCUUUAUGUAGAAUCUAUGAAGAGACGUUUUUGAGCUUAUCGAGAUGUAAGGUGAGAAACUGAAUAUCCCGCUAUGCAAAGUACAAACAAGCUCUCUGUGAAAAUGCUUUGUUAUAUGGGGAUUCUUCUCACUGAAUGGAUCUUGUGUUGUGAUUCACUGGGUUGGAAACACUUUUUUUUAGAAUCUAUGAAGGGACAUUUCCGAGGCCAUCGAGGCCUAUAGUGAACAACAGAAUAUUCUGUGAUAAAAACUAGAAACAACCUACCUGUGAAAACGAUUUGUGAUCUUUGGAUUCAUCUCACCACAUGGAACCUGUGUUUUGAUUCAGCUGGUUGGAAAAACUCUUUUUGUGGAAUCUACCAAAGGAUAUUUCUAAGCCCGUUGAGGCCUAUAUUAAAUUGAUUAUCUCAUGGUUGAAAGCAUUCUUUUUGUAGA